UACGUAGGGUGCAAGCGUUAAUCGGAAUUACUGGGCGUAAAGCGUGCGCAGGCGGUUGUGCAAGACAGAUGUGGAAUCCCCGGGCUUAACCUGGGAACUGCAUUUGUGACUGCACGGCUAGAGUGUGUCAGAGGGGGGUAGAAUUCCACGUGUAGCAGUGAAAUGCGUAGAUAUGUGGAGGAAUACCGAUGGCGAAGGCAGCCCCCUGGGAUAACACUGACGCUCAUGCACGAAAGCGUGGGGAGCAAACAGG
rnacentral:rRNA from 1 species